rnacentral:rRNA from 1 species
UACGUAGGGUGCAAGCGUUGUCCGGAAUUAUUGGGCGUAAAGAGCUCGUAGGCGGUCUGUCGCGUCUGCUGUGAAAACUCGGGGCUUAACCCCGGGCCUGCAGUGGGUACGGGCAGACUAGAGUGCGGUAGGGGGAGACUGGAAUUCCUGGUGUAGCGGUGAAAUGCGCAGAUAUCAGGAGGAACACCGGUGGCGAAGGCGGGUCUCUGGGCCGUAACUGACGCUGAGGAGCGAAAGCGUGGGGGAGCGAACAGG